GACCUAGUUCAGCCCAGAGCAGAUGGGAGGAAGCUCCAGCCUGACCACCGCCCCCUUUCCCAGGCAGGGUCCUAGGCAGCAGCGGGUUGAGGGUCAGCCUGGUUCCCACAGCGAGGAUGCUAGCCAUUGCCUGAAAGCAUGAGGCAUCUCCGGCACAUGGGGCUUGGCACUGUCUCUAAAGCCCAGGCUCAUCCAACAAAAGCAGAGAGGACGCAUCCGCCUGG
rnacentral:lncRNA from 1 species